UCCCUUGUUCUCCUUGAAAGCAACUGUCUGCGGCAAGUGCGAAAUAAACCACUUGUACAGCAGGGGUAGACAGCAGACAAUAACUCCUCCACCUUUUGCAUUCCUCAGAUGCAAAGAGACAUAGGCAUCGCCCAACAAAGUCGGAACGGGAUUAAGAACUGAGAAGAUCCUAAUGGCGUUCAUGUCCACGAACUUGUCGAAGUUGGGAAACAACACCAAUC
rnacentral:lncRNA from 1 species